AAUAAAACGAGAAGACCCUAUGGAGCUUCAUUUUGUUAAUGCAAAUAAAAACUCAAAAAGCCUACAGGCAUUAAAGAUUUUGGUUGGGGUGACCUCAAAGCAUGACUCAACCUAACUAAGACUGCACUAUUCUAAGCGCAUCAAUAUACAUUGAUCGAGUAAUUUGAUCGAUGGAAUAAUUUACCCUAGGGAUAACAGUGCAAUCCUCUUCUAGAUUUCCAUAACAACAAUAGAGUUUAUGACCUUGAUGUUUGAUCAGGACAUCCUAAUCAUGCAGCUGCUGCUAUUAAGAGUUUGUUUGUUCAACGAUUAAAGUCCUAGGUGAUCUGAGUUCAGAUCAGAGCAAUCCAGGUCUGUUUCUGUCUAUU
rnacentral:ncRNA from 1 species